UACGGGGGGAGCAAGCGUUGUUCGGAUUUACUGGGCGUAAAGGGCGCGUAGGCGGUCGUGACAAGUCACUUGUGAAAUCUCCGGGCUUAACUCGGAACGGGCAAGUGAUACUGUCGGACUAGAGUACAGAAGGGGCAACUGGAAUUCUCGGUGUAGCGGUGAAAUGCGUAGAUAUCGAGAGGAACACCUGCGGCGAAGGCGGGUUGCUGGGCUGAUACUGACGCUGAGGCGCGAAAGCCAGGGGAGCGAACGGG
rnacentral:rRNA from 1 species